rnacentral:lncRNA from 1 species
AAAGAACCCUGUCCCUCCAUAGAGAUGGCAGGCACUAAUGUCAGAUAUCACAGUAUCCUCCAUAGCAAGGACAGACAGGAGAGAAACCAAUGGGUGGAACUGCAGCACGCAAGGAUGGAUCUGCUUGGCCAUCAGCAGAGAGCACUCAUUCUGCUCUGCGAAUGCACGGCUAGGGUCAAAGCCAGCAGGUCCCUGCAGUGCUGCUUGAGACUCUGUGGUUAGGUCUGAUUCUGUGGGGAAUACAGCGAAGACCUCCUGGCAACAGACCUGAAGCUGCAUUCUGUAACAGCUACAGCAAUAACAAGUUUGAUUUUUUUGUUCCAUGCAAAGUAUAUUCCUUUAAGCAUAUAAAUGCAAAUAUUUGAAAAUUUCAUAGUUAAAGCAUUUGACAUUUCCACUUGUGUGUAAAAAUACUCUUGAAUUCUCUUAAAUUCUUAAAAAUGGUUAAAAAGUUACUAGUUUUCCUGACUUCCAUCAAACUGUCAUCAAAACAUAACAGAGACUUGGAUUUCUGCUUACUUGUCAUUGGCUAGAUGAUAAAAGCGCCUGCUCACACAUCCAGUACACAGAAGGCUCACAGCAUCCAAGUAGGAAAAUAUCUUCAGCAAGAUUUCUGAAGGCAUUCUGCAAAAACAGAAAAAGAAAAAAAAAAUCACCAGAGUGGACCAGGGCUUAAUCUGCAGAUUACCCAGAAAACAACUGGCUGCUCAUCUCUAAAUAGAAGGCCGUAG